rnacentral:rRNA from 1 species
CAGCAGCCACGGUAAUACGAAGGGGGCUAGCGUUGCUCGGAAUUACUGGGCGUAAAGGGCGCGUAGGCGGCGGUGUUAGUCAGGCGUGAAAGCCCUGGGCUCAACCUGGGGACUGCGCUUGAUACGGCAUUGCUAGAGGAUGGAAGAGGGUCGCGGAAUUCCCAGUGUAGAGGUGAAAUUCGUAGAUAUUGGGAAGAACACCGGUGGCGAAGGCGGCGACCUGGUCCAUUACUGACGCUGAGGCGCGACAGCGUGGGGAGCAAACAGGAUUAGAUACCCGUGUAGUCCCUGUCUCUUAUAC